GAUGAACGCUAGCUACAGGCUUAACACAUGCAAGUCGAGGGGUAGCAGGGUAGCAAUUCCGCUGACGACCGGCGCACGGGUGAGUAACACGUAUCCAACCUUCCCAUAACUCGGGGAUAGCCUUUCGAAAGAAAGAUUAAUACCCGAUAGUACUUUUUCAAGGCAUCUUGAAAAAGUUAAAGAUUUAUUGGUUAUGGAUGGGGAUGCGUUCCAUUAGAUAGUUGGUGAGGUAACGGCUCACCAAGUCUUCGAUGGAUAGGGGUUCUGAGAGGAAGGUGCCCGACAUUGGUACGGAGACACGGACCAAACUGCUGCGGGAGGCAGCAGUGAGGAAUAUUGGUCAAUGGGCGAGAGCCUGAACCAGCCAAGUAGCGUGAAGGAUGAAGGUCCUAUGGAUUGUAAACUUCUUUUAUAGUAGAAUAAAGUGAUCCACGUGUGGAUUUUUGUAUGUAUACUAUGAAUAAGGAUCGGCUAACUCCGUGCCAGCCGCCGCCGUAA
rnacentral:rRNA from 1 species